rnacentral:lncRNA from 1 species
GUCCAGGUCCGCGUGCGGUUUCCGGUUUCUUAUCCCACCCACCCCUGGCGCGGAGGACAGUGGGAAUCGUAGUCUACUUUGUUUAGGGAAGGAGAUUGGCGUAGCCGAGGCCACUUCCGCCGGAAAUGCUCAAAUCCCCGGAAGGCGAGCCAAAUGAGCACUAAGUGAUGCUGGGGGUUGUAGUUUAUUGUUUACAUCGGGGUAAAUUGAGAAGUCUUGGGACACGAGAGGCCAGGCUCUGUGAGGACCUCGAAGAUGCGGGGUUCUAGCUCUAAAGACAAAAACUUCAUGGGGGCAGCAGGAGCUUCAGGGAACUAUGAACAGUGACCUUCUGACACCAAAGGUUGAACUGAAUUAAGCAACUGAGAAGAGGAGUCAAGAGGAGUCUGGAAGAGGGGCCAAGUAGCCAGCCUUCCCCACCCGUCUCUGUUUAGCUCAACAUUAGCCAUCUUUCAAGGCCAGGCGCCAAGCUCUCCUCUUCCAUGAAGACUUUCCUGAUCACACAGCCCAGAGCAAUAAUAAAACUACAGUUCUCAAUGCUGGAAGGCGCCUCAAGAAACCACCCUGUUUGUCUUACCUGUCUUCAGGUAGAUGAUGCAUCACUGUCCCCAUUUUAUCGAUGAGGCAACUGAGUCCAGGAUCAGUUAGGUGCACGGAACAGAAGCAUCAGUUGGGGAAGUCAAGAAGAAAGACCAAGAAGUUGGUGCAGCAUGCAAGAGAAGCCCCAGGAGAUGAUCCAGGGGUGCUGGGGGUGCAUUUCUUGGUUUUCUAAAUAAUCCCUUUCACCUGACUUAAUGCUGAAUGAAUGAAUGAGUGAAUAGAGAGAGAAAGGUGGAGGAACAGAAGGAUAGAGCUUCAGGGAGAGAAAGAAGAAAAGGAGAACAAAAAAGGAAGAGAAAAGGUGGGGUGUGGGGCAGAUGGGAGCAGAGUCAGAGGAAAGAAUCAGAGAAGGGCAUCAAGGACAGAGGGAGGGAGGAAGCAGAGAGGGAGGGGAAGGAGGGAGCCCAAACUUUCCUUCCUCGCACGCCCAGC